rnacentral:lncRNA from 1 species
GGGGAUCUCUGCAGAAUCCGACUGCAUGAUGACAAACAGUAAAACAGAAUUAUUGCUCGACUGGAGCAGAUUUUUUUUUAUCUUCAGUUUGAGGAAAGGUGAGGUGAAGUGCAGCAGAAUCUGUGAAUCCCACAGGAAUGUUCUGAUCAGCUAUCAAGAUAAUACACAUCACAUCAGACACACAAGGAGGAGGAUGCAAUUAAAAGCGUGGGGCUGGGAUAUCAUAUGGCUUCCUGCCCACAUCCUUGGAAGUUGCCCAUGA